rnacentral:rRNA from 1 species
UACGGGGGGGGCAAGCGUUGUUCGGAAUUACUGGGCGUAAAGGGCUCGUAGGCGGCCAACUAAGUCAGACGUGAAAUCCCUCGGCUUAACCGGGGAACUGCGUCUGAUACUGGAUGGCUUGAGUUUGGGAGAGGGAUGCGGAAUUCCAGGUGUAGCGGUGAAAUGCGUAAAUAUCUGGAGGAACACCGGUGGCGAAGGCGGCGAUCCUGGACCAACACUGACGCUGAGUGAGCGAAAGCCAGGGGAGCAAACGGG